GCCUGCUGCCUUCGGCUUAUCUGUGUUCAGUGCCCUACUCAGGGAGGCGUCAUUCACAUAAGUUGAUAUAUGAAUGGCACCUUUUUGAGUAGGGUAAUGUACAAUGAGGACAACAUUUGUGGUGGCAUUGGCAAU
rnacentral:ncRNA from 2 species